ensembl:lncRNA ZFAND2A-DT ZFAND2A divergent transcript
GCGGGCCCCAGGAGGCCUCCAUCUCAAAACAACGUGUUUUUAGUGUUGACUCACCUGUGGAGUGGUCUGAGCCUGAAUGCCCGGGGCUGUGGCCACCGAGUGAACGGGCUGUGCUAAGGGGAAUUGCCACCUUGGGAAACCUGUGUAGUUGCGGCUUUUCUGAUUAAGUAUCAAUAAAAGUCUGACCUUGUGAAAAAAGCAAACGUGAGUGGCCCUGCUUAUGUUUCACCUUGCGUUGCUCAGUGAUAGUUCUGCAAAGUCGCAGGAAACCUGGAAUCAUCUAAUUAUCGUGAGUGUUGGUGAGUAACACCCAUAGGCACUGGCUCCCGGGGAAAUACAGAGUCAGGUUCCUCCGAGCCGCUGGCCACAGCAUUUUUGUUAAGCAGUUCAUCGUUAACCUUGUUGUACAUGUCUCUCUCUCAAGGUUCCUUAUUUAAUAAUGUCUAGUUGAUUCAUUAACAUGGAAUUCAUGGCCAGUACCUCUGUCACUCAUGCCUGACUGAAGUUGAUCAGCACGUCUUUUUCUCCCUUAGGCACAUGACAGCCUUCUUGCAAUCAAGAAACUACGUGUGGCCAGGAUCUCAUCCACUAUCACAGUUUCAGCUUUCCCCAAACUGGAAUGUGUCUUUGCAGACGCCCAUCCUUAUUAAAGGGCAAAGACUUCUCAUACACCUAGGAUGGAUCUUAUAUUCUUGGCGGGACUGCAGAGAAGGUGCCGUGUCCUGAGUCCUCAUGUCAGGGCACAGGCUUCCAGCCAGUUCUACCUGGGUUAUGUUUAUCUCAAUUCCCUGGUGGUAUUGGUGUCUGCUGGGUUUUGCCAGAAUGAAGACACCGUGUUUUCAUUUGUCAGUUGAUUCGUAUUUUCCAGGAAGACAUUCUGAGAUUACAGCAUUGUCUUAGUCAAGGUGCUGCAGAAGGACAGAACUAAUAGGAUAUAUGUACAUAUGAAAGAAAGUUUAUGAAGAACUGGCUCACACCAUCACAAGGCAAAGUCCCAUGACAGGCCAUCUGCAAGCUGAGGAGCGAGGAAGCCAGCAGUGGCUCAGCCGGAGUCCAACAGCCUCAAACGGAAUCCAACAGUUCAGGCUUCAGUCUGUGGCCAAAUGCCCAGAGACCCCGGAAAGCUACUGGUGUUAGUCCCAGAGCCGGAAGGCCAAAGAACCUGGAGUGUGAUGUCCAAGGGCAGGAGGAAUGGACAGAAGCAUCCAGCAUGGGGUAAAGACGAAAGCCAGAAGACUCAGCAAGCUAGCUUACCUACUUUCUUCUGCCUGCCUUGUUCUAGCCGCGCUGGCAGCCGGUUGGAGGGUGCCCACCCCCACUGAGGGUGGAUCUUCCUCUCCUAGUCCACUGACUCAAAUUUCAGUCUCUCUGGGAGCACCAUCACACCAGAAACAAUACCAGCCAUCUAGCCACCCUUCAGUUCACCAUCACAACCAUUGUCUUAUUCAUGAAACUUCUGCAGACCCACCUUAACCUCCAUCGGUGACUUCUACCUGAAGCCCUCUGAUUGUUGCCCAGUGGUGCUUUUUAAAAUAAUUUCCAUAGUUUCUUCUACACCUUUAGUUGGCAUUCUACUGUAAAGGAGAGAUUUUAUUUUCUUACUCAUUUAUUUGUUAGUUUAUAGUCACC